UACGUAGGGUGCGAGCGUUAAUCGGAAUUACUGGGCGUAAAGCGUGCGCAGGCGGUUCGUUGUGUCGGCGGUGAAAGCCCCGGGCUUAACCUGGGAAUGGCCGUUGAAACUGGCGAACUGGAGUGUGGCAGGAGGGGGGUGGAAUUCCGCGUGUAGCAGUGAAAUGCGUAGAGAUGCGGAGGAACACCGAUGGCGAAGGCAGCCCCUGGGCUAACACUGACGCUCAGGCACGAAAGCGUGGGGAGCAAACAGG
rnacentral:rRNA from 1 species